UACAGAGGUCUCAAGCGUUGCUCGGAUUCAUUGGGCGUAAAGGGUGCGUAGGCGGCGCGGUAAGUCGGGUGUGAAAUCUCGGAGCUUAACUCCGAAACUGCAUUCGAUACUGCCGUGCUUGAGGACUGGAGAGGAGACUGGAAUUUACGGUGUAGCGGUGAAAUGCGUAGAUAUCGUAAGGAACACCAGUGGCGAAGGCGGGUCUCUGGACAGUUCCUGACGCUGAUGCACGAAGGUCAGGGGAGCAAACGGG
rnacentral:rRNA from 1 species